rnacentral:rRNA from 1 species
UACGAAGGGGGCUAGCGUUGCUCGGAAUCACUGGGCGUAAAGCGCACGUAGGUGGAUCGCUAAGUCAGGGGUGAAAUCCUGGAGCUCAACUCCAGAACUGCCUUUGAUACUGGCAAUCUCGAGUCCGGGAGAGGUGAGUGGAACUGCGAGUGUAGAGGUGAAAUUCGUAGAUAUUCGCAAGAACACCAGUGGCGAAGGCGGCUCACUGGCCCGGUACUGACGCUGAGGCGCGAAAGCGUGGGGAGCAAACAGG